ACGGGGUGCAGCAGGCGCGAAAACUUUACAAUGCACGAAAGUGUGAUAGGGGAACUCAGCGUGCUCAUGUUAAACAUGGGCUUUUCUUUAUGGUAAAUACAUAAGGGAAUAAAGGAUGGGCAAGACCGGUGCCAGCAGCCGCGGUAACACCGGCGUCCUUAGUGGGAAUCACUUAUUAGGUCUAAAGCGCUCGUAGUCGGCUUUGUAAAUUUCUUGUGAAAUCGUGUCGCUUAACGGCACGGCGUGCAGGAAACACUGCAGAGCUUGGGACUGGGAGGCGUCAGAAGUAUUCCUUAGGGAGCGGUAAAAUGUGAUAAUCUAAGGAGGAUUACCUGUGGCGAAGGCGUCUGACGAGAACAGGUUCGACGAUCAGGAGCGAAGGCUAGGGGAGCAAACCGGAUUAGAUACCCCGAGUAGUCCUAGCAGUAAACACUGUGUGCAAGGUGUUGCGUCUACAAUAGGUAGAUGCAGUAUCGAAGCGAAGGCAAUAAGCACACCACCUGGGAAGUACGGUCGCAAGACUGAAACUUAAAGGAAUUUGGCGGGGGAGCA
rnacentral:rRNA from 1 species